UACGGAGGAUGCAAGCGUUAUCCGGAAUGAUUGGGCGUAAAGGGUCCGCAGGUGGCAGUGUAAGUCUGCUGUCAAAGAAUGAGGCUUAACCUCAUCAGGGCAGUGGAAACUACACAGCUAGAGUACGGUCGGGGUAGAAGGAAUUCCUGGUGUAGCGGUGAAAUGCGUAGAGAUCAGGAAGAACACCGGUGGCGAAAGCGUUCUGCUAGACCUGUACUGACACUGAGGGACGAAAGCUAGGGGAGCGAAUGGG
rnacentral:rRNA from 1 species